GCCCUUGUUCAAAAUCCCACAUACCUUAGAUUUUGAAAUUAGAUGAACAAGCUUGCUUCAAACUCUUUUUCUUACUCUUGAGAGAGCCUUGAACUUGGAGAACUUAAAUCUUAACUCAAUUUGUACCAUCUAUGGUGAGAUCUUGGAUUUCUUACAGAAGGGUUUUAGAUUUGAUCUUGAGGGAGUAACCCUAGCUCUCUUGUGUUUUGGAUGAUGAAUGAAGUUAUUUGCUUCAUUUGGAAUAUAUCUGGUUGAUAAAAGAGUGUAAAGACUGAAAAGUCUCUUUUAAAAAUAACUUAAAAUACUAAACGGGGGCUGCGACGGUCAAAGCAAUGGUACGUCGCUAGCCUAAUGGUCCAUCGGAUCAUCCAUCGCACGUUGGUCAAAAAAAGAACAUACUGCAUCGAUGUGAUUGUAUCAUCGAUGGUCCGUCAAAAACUCGAUUGUCCGUCGGAGCGUCCAUUGCACGUUGGCCAGGAUGAGGCCACACUGUCUCAGCAACGACGGUCUCAGCAACGGUCCAUUGCAAUUUUGAUGGUCCGUCAUCCUGUCCAUCACACUUGGGCCAGAAAAGGGAGUUACUACCUUGGUUACGACGGUCCGGGUAAUUUUUUGUCGCACACUUGACGGUUCGUCAGCCUGUCUGUCGCAUCUGGGUGAUUCCGAAACUCUCAGUAAAAUGGGCAUAACUUCCCACCUCAAUGCCGGAUUUGGAUGAAAUUGGUAUCAUUGGAAAGCUAAUUCAAUUCUCUACACCACAGGAAGUCAUUUUUAGGAAAAUUCAACAAGAUUAAAACUCUAAUCACUUGGGAAGUCUCUUUUCAAUCUUUUAGGAUCGGAAUUACACUUCAUUUGAAACGCUCAAGGCUUAAACUACAAGGGAAAUUUGUGGGGUUUUACAAUAUCUCCCCCUUGUAAACAUCCAUCCUCGAAUGUCUUUAGUUAGACUAAGAACACAGGAAAAUAGAGUACACAUAGCUGAAGCAAGUUGCUAAACUGGCUCAAAAUCUCUCUAAACUCUUGAAUAUCUCAGAAAUUGCAAGAACUCAUGCAAGAAUAGAUAUAUAGAUGAACUUUAGAUUAGAAGGGCUGAAUUAAGGAAAAUAAUACCUUAGGAUUGAUCUAAAUUCACGAAAAAGAGGUGCGGGUACUUGACUCGCAUGUCUACUUCUGCCUCCCAAGUAGUGCCCUCAACUAACUGGUUCUGCCACAACACUUUGACCAAGUAAACCUCUUUGUUCCUUAGUCUACGGAUCUGAAAAUCUAGGAUCUCAAUGGGAAUCUAAUCAAAUGAAAGACUGUUCUGAAUAUCAGCACUUUAUGAAGGAUCUACCACAACGGAAUCACCAAUAUGCUUAGACAGUGAGACCCCCUAUUCAGAUCCAUGUAUGACGGUCAGUCUGAUGGACCGUUAACCCAGCGAUAGACCAUUGCACCCACUAUCAUAGUCCCAUUCAGUUUUUUGUUAAGUUAUUUUAACUGAGGUAUUUUGGUAUUUUACCACCCACUUAUAUAUACCCGGUUAUACCCGAUUUUGGCUUAUUUUGUUUGUUAUUAUUUCAACAACAACUUUAGGGUUUCUCUCUGAAAUUAAUCCCCAAGAAUAAAAAAUCCAAAUCUUCUCCAGGAAACUAAGAGAUUCAAAUACCUCAAGUUCAAGAAUACCAAGAAAAACUCUGCCCAGACUCAGGUUCUCACUAUCAGGAUAAUAGUCGAUAAAGUUAUAGCAUUCAACAAAUAUAUGAUGAGUUCUCUUAUUUCAAGGACUAAAGUCAUUUGCAGUUCCAGUAUUUCAUUUUCUUAUUCGUAGGUAUCAGUUAGGGAUAGUUGGGGUCAUGCCCCAGCUACCUAUAGUCGGUAUUAUCAGAAGCUUUAUAGAUAUUCAGUUAAAGUUAUUAUAUGUUAUUUUAGUUCCCUUUUUUAUUUUUUAGAUUAUCAUGUUCUAAACUUUUAACAGUAACAUAUUGAAUCUUAUUUCAUGAUUAUGCUUCCCC